rnacentral:rRNA from 1 species
UACGUAGGUGGCAAGCGUUGUCCGGAUUUACUGGGCGUAAAGAGCGCGCAGGCGGUCGAUCAAGUCGCGUGUGAAAGCCCCCGGCUCAACCGGGGAGGGUCAUUCGAUACUGCUCGACUCGAAGGCAGGAGAGGGAAGCGGAAUUCCCGGUGUAGUGGUGAAAUGCGUAGAUAUCGGGAGGAACACCAGUGGCGAAGGCGGCUUUCUGGCCUGUUCUUGACGCUGAGGCGGCGAAA